AUUGAACGCUGGCGGCGUGCCUAACACAUGCAAGUCGAGCGGUAACAGGUGUAGCAAUACAUGCUGACGAGCGGCGAACGGGUGAGUAAUGCUUCGGAAUCUGCCCAUGUAGUGGGGAAUAACCAGCCGAAAGGUUGGCUAAUACCGCAUACGACCCUUGCCCACAAGGCAAAGGUGAAAGCGAGGGGAUCGCAAGACCUUGCGCUAUUGGAUGAGCCGAAGUCGGAUUAGCUAGUUGGUAGGGUAACGGCCUACCAAGGCGACGAUCCGUAGCUGGUCUGAGAGGACGACCAGCCACACUGGGACUGAGACACGGCCCAGACUCCGUACGGGAGGCAGCAGGUGGGGAAUA
rnacentral:rRNA from 1 species